rnacentral:rRNA from 1 species
UACGGAAUGUGCAAACGUUAUUCGGAAUCACUGGGCUUAAAGAGUCCGUAGGCGGCCUGUUAGGUGAGGUGUGAAAUCCCCCGGCUCAACCGAGGAAUUGCGCUUCAAACCGGCGUGCUUGAGGAAGAUAGAGGUGGGCGGAACUGAUGGUGGAGCGGUGAAAUGCGCAGAUAUCAGGAGGAACACCGAUGGCGAAGGCAGGUCUCUGGGCAUUAACUGACGCCGAGGAGCGAAAGCAUGGGGAGCGAACAGG